rnacentral:rRNA from 1 species
AGUGAACGCUGGCGGCAGGCCUAACACAUGCAAGUCGAACGGCAACACAAUAAGACUUUGCUCUUACCGGUGGCGAGUGGCGCACGGGUGAGAAAUACAUCGGACUCUACUUUUUCGUGGGGGAUCUCGUAGGGAAAGUUACGCUAACAGCGUAUCCGACCUACGGCAGAAAGCAGGGCAUCUUCGCCCCUUGCGAGCUUGUAUGAGCCGAUGUCGGAUUAGCUAGUUGGCGGGGUAAAGGCCCACCAAGGCGACGAUCCGUAGCUGGUCUGAGAGGAUGAUCAGCCACACUGGAACUGAGACACGGUCCAGACUCCUACGGGAGGCAGCAGUGGGGAAUAUUGGACAAUGGGCGCAAGCCUGAUGCAGCCAUGCCGCGUGGGUGAAGAAGGCCUUCGGGUUGUAAAGCCCUUUUGUUGGGGAAGAAAAGAGGCAGGUUAAUACCCCGCUGUUCUGACGGUACCCAAAGAAGAAGCACCGGCUAACUUCGUG